rnacentral:RNase_P_RNA from 2 species
UCAGGCGGCCGGAUGGCCGCGGCGGGCUGCGGCCCGCCGAGGAAAGUCCGGGCUCCACGGAAACACGGUGCCGGGUAACGCCCGGCGGGGGCGACCCCAGGGAAAGUGCCACAGAGAGCAGACCGCCGGCCUUCGGACCGGCAAGGGUGAAAGGGUGCGGUAAGAGCGCACCGCGGCGCUGGCGACAGCGCCGGCAUGGUAAACCCCACCGGGAGCAAGAUCGAAUAGGGACGGCCGGCCCGGCAAGCGGGCAGAAGCGUUUCCGCUUCGCCGUCCGGGUAGAUUGCAGGAGGCGCCGGGCGACCGGCGUCCCAGAUGAAUGGCCAUCCAGCCCCGGACUCGGUCCGGGGCGGACAGAACCCGGCUUACAGGCCGCCUGACGCC